CCUAGGGCUGAAGCAGCACACGGUGCUGUCCUCCACUCACCACCGCCAGCCUCUCCACCUCCCUGUGCCCAGCACGUCACCCAGGAACAGUUGAAAGAAGAGGAACACAGGACUGCUGAUCUCCCUUGAGAAAAUGAUGACCUUUGGCUCAUUUCUAGCAAUCACUCAUCAAUCGUUGGACACUUCACAAACAAGGAUGGGCAUACAUGCUGACUUGGACCCUGCUGUUGGGACCAUGCCUAUGAAGCUUAUGCCAAGGGGCAAGGUAUCCUUCUCUGCACUUGAGAUGAAGCUGGAAUCUCUUCCCAGCACACAAGACUGAUCCUGGCACUGACUGUUGUCCAACACAGCUCCUGACACCGGGGCUUCAGCAAUUGUGGUUCCACGCUCCUGACAAAGCUGAUGCGGGAUGCCAGAGCAUUAAGGAGAGCUGGAGCCGGAGUCCCUGGCUUGGUCCAGACAGAUGCAGCUCUAACCUGUCUGCCAGGCAGGACAGUGUCACCGAGAGACAACUAUAGUUUUCCAUUCUUAAGGUAGGCUGGGGAGCCUGUCUCACACCUGGGUUUCACUCCUGCACCGUUAUUAGAUUGCAAACACUUCUGCACGGGUCUAAGACAACUCCUGGCCCCGCUGGUCCAUCCUGGGCACGCCAGCAGCGCCGCCAACAUCGGACUGCAGCUGAUGAUGGAGGGCAAGCCCUUGUCCACCAUUGCAGGAGGACAGACAGCUGGGGUGCCCCAUCAGUGGGCACAGCCCCUUUCCUUGAAGCCCCCCAUUCCAGGGCUUGCUUGGCUAGCCUUUACCCCCCGCAGGUCCUGGAGAGGACAGAGCCCAGCGCCCGGGGUUUGGCUCUUACCACUUUGCCGUCCUUGGCCUCUCGCCGGUGCCCCGGGGCCGGGGGGUCCGCACCGCUGCUGCCCCCAGCUCGGCCCUCACCAGGCGAGAGGGAGUAGAAGGGGGGGCUGGGGCUGGGGGGCAGCCCCGAGUCUGGGCUGUCCAACAAGCCUUCCCGGCUCUUCUCCUUCAGGCUCUCGUCCAUCCCUUGCAGCUGUAGGUGACCUACCAUGUCUGGGGGGCAGCGAGGGGGUCGCAGCGGGAGAAAAUCCUCCAGCGCCGCCCGCCGCUGAGGGAGGGAAGGGGAACGGAGCCCAGGGGGGUCCCCGUGAGUCCCGGUCGCCGCCACCAGCCUGCCGGAACCAGGGCUGAGCCUGCUGCGGGGCGGAGGAGCCAGCAUCAGCCGGACCGGGCUGCCCCGGCCGCCUUCCCUCCACCCGGCCCCCGCGUCCUGUCCAGCCCGGCCGCCUCCUGCCCGUCAGGCGGCCACUGGGAAGAAGGAGAAAGACCGGAUUCCCCCAGCCUAGCCCCUCGGGGGACGCAGUCGUUUACGUGCGGCAGAGCCCGGGGCAGCCCCGCCGGCAGAGAGCGCUGGGUGCGGCAGGGGGACGGGGACGGGCGGGCCGCGAUCGGCCACAGGCUGCUGCCGACCGCCCGCCCGCCGCCUCCCGGCAGCGCAUUUAUCCGGAGAGGGUGGGAGGGGAGCCGGGGAGCGCCCUCCCCUUCCCCCGGCCCCCCAGCCCUGUCCCGGCCGCACAUUUUCA